UUUGAGAUAUCCUCAUGAGCAAGGAUGCCCAGCCAAAGACCAAAUCUGUAAUUCUUGUGGCAAAUUCAAUCAUUUUGCAAAGCAAUGUCGCUCAAAGAAAAAAGAGACACAUUGUGGAAAGAAGUAUAAGAAAAAUCUGCCACCGCAAACUGUUCAUCAGGUAACAGAUAACGCUGCACAUGUGGAGACAGGGCACACAUCCAGCAGUGAUGACGCUUAUGUAUAUGUGGUGGACACAGCUCAACAUCCUAAACUCCCACAUACUGAAGUCAGAGUAAUGGGCACCCAGAUACCGGUGCUAAUUGAUUCUGGGGCCACUGCUAACUACUUAACUGAAGCUACCUACAACAAACUGACACCACGUCCUACGUUAACUUCUACAGACUAGAGAUGGCACGAUACCACUUUUUCAUGUCUGAUACCGAUACCGAUAUCAUAAAUUUGGAUAUCUGCCGAUACCGAUAUGAAUCCGAUAUAGUGUUUUUUAAUCAAUAAAAACUUAUUUUUGUUUAAUAUCUUGCUGCUUUUUGUAUAAGUUCAUACUCAAGUUAAAAAAAAACCCACUAAAUCUAUUCUGUUAUACCUGCAUGCAACAAAAUGCACUGCACCCAAAAUAUUUCAUAGUUCAGCAAUCCUGAUCAAUCUAAUAAACUUAAACCUACUCCAUCCUUCCUAUUCUGGUAUUUUAAAGAGUAAGCAACCUAACUAAUAAGGCUCUAAAACUCCCAGCAAAAAAAAAAAAAAAAAAAUAGGGAACCACCCUCCACCUCAUGAUGCUUAAUCGACGUAAUCAACUUUAAUUUGAUGCAGUGUGAAAAAAAAAAUGCACAGAAAUAAAUUAUUUUUCAAGAAUAAUUAAAUAGAUUCAACAUCUCCCUUCAACAGAAUUGCAGAAUUCACAGAUGGUACCUUCCCAAAGGAAAAAGUAGUAUAGCUUACUAGGGUAUAUUAGACUUAAUAGUUACUAUAUACAGUAAUGGACUUCUAUACAUUUUACAUCAGAUUAAAACGUUGGGUGUAAGAUUCGGAUAAUUAUUUAUUAAAAGCUAGACAUUUUAAAUGAGAAUAAGAAAGAAAAGUAUGUCUUUGUGCCCCCUUUUCCCUGUUAAUGCCCUAUCGGCCCCCCUGGCUAAACUUUGCUAGAUCCACCCCUGCACAGUUACCAGCCGUCAGCUGCGUAGAAAAAGAUCCUGGUGUAGAAAGUAAUAUUAAAUAAAUUCUAACAACAGCUUAUC
ensembl:lncRNA